AUUGAACGCUGGCGGCAUGCUUUACACAUGCAAGUCGAACGGCAGCGCGGGCUUCGGCCUGGCGGCGAGUGGCGAACGGGUGAGUAAUACAUCGGAACGUGCCCAGUUGUGGGGGAUAGCUCGGCGAAAGCCGGAUUAAUACCGCAUACGACCUGAGGGUGAAAGCGGGGGAUCUUCGGACCUCGCGCUCUUGGAGCGGCCGAUGGCAGAUUAGCUAGUUGGUGGGGUAAAGGCCUACCAAGGCGACGAUCUGUAGCUGGUCUGAGAGGACGACCAGCCACACUGGAACUGAGACACGGCCCAGACUCCUACGGGAGGCAGCAGUGGGGAAUUUUGGACAAUGGGCGAAAGCCUGAUCCAGCAAUGCCGCGUGUGUGAUGAAGGCCUUCGGGUUGUAAAGCACUUUUGGCGGGAACGAAAAGGACUGUGCCAAUACCACGGUUCGAUGACGGUACCCGCAGAAUAAGCACCGGCUAACUACGUG
rnacentral:rRNA from 1 species